rnacentral:piRNA from 1 species
CACAAUGAUACCAAAGGUGGGCCCGCUG